GGGUGGUAAUACCGGAUGCUCCGCUCCAUCGCAUGGUGGGGUGGGAAAUGCUUUUGCGGCAUGGGAUGGGGUCGCGUCCUAUCAGCUUGUUGGCGGGGUGAUGGCCCACCAAGGCGUUGACGGGUAGCCGGCCUGAGAGGGUGACCGGCCACAUUGGGACUGAGAUACGGCCCAGACUCCUACGGGAGGCAGCAGUGGGGAAUAUUGCACAAUGGGCGCAAGCCUGAUGCAGCGACGCCGCGUGCGGGAUGGAGGCCUUCGGGUUGUAAACCGCUUUUGUUCAAGGGCAAGGCACGGUUUCGGCCGUGUUGAGUGGAUUGUUCGAAUAAGCACCGGCUAACUACGUGCCAGCAGCCGCGGUAAUACGUAGGGUGCGAGCGUUAUCCGGAUUUAUUGGGCGUAAAGGGCUCGUAGGCGGUUCGUCGCGUCCGGUGUGAAAGUCCAUCGCCUAACGGUGGAUCUGCGCCGGGUACGGGCGGGCUGGAGUGCGGUAGGGGAGACUGGAAUUCCCGGUGUAACGGUGGAAUGUGUAGAUAUCGGAAAAGAAACACCA
rnacentral:rRNA from 1 species